AUUGACCGCUGGCGGCAGGCCUAACACAUGCAAGUCGAACGAGUGGCGGACGGGUGAGUAAUGUCUGGGAAACUGCCUGAUGGAGGGGGAUAACUACUGGAAACGGUAGCUAAUACCGCAUACCAUCAGAUGUUCCCAGAUGGGAUUAGCUUGUUGGUGGGGUAACGGCUCACCACGGCGACGAUCCCUAGCUGGUCUGAGAGGAUGACCAGCAAUACUGGAACUGAGACACGGUCCAGACGCCUACGGGAGGCAGCAGUGGGGAAUAUGGCACAAUGGGCGAAAGCCUGAUGCAGCCAUGCCGCGUGUAUGAAGAAGGCCUUCGGGUUGUAAAGUACUUUCAGCGGGGAGGCGUUACCCGCAGAAGAAGCACCGGCUAACUCCGUGCCAGCAGCCGCGGUAAUAC
rnacentral:rRNA from 1 species